AGAUUAACACUGCUAGCGACGACUUUGUUUAGUAGAGGUUGAUAGUAGCAACUGCGCGUAGCAUAGUUCGAAGGGAAGCAACUCCGUCACUACUUUUCUUAACAAGGAAGGAUAAGGAAGGAGUGCACCCUCUUGCACAUCUGUUUUACUUUAGAAAUGACGUGGUUUCUAGAGAGAGAGAAAUUACGUCAUUUAUGCGGGUGCUGGUGGGAGCUUAGGCUCGUGGUGGCUGUGAGGCGUGAUUGGCUGUGGUGUGUCAGCUGGCAUGACUGGCCAACGGAACGCUUGUUGGGAAGAAAGAUCUAGAAAUGCAAGCUGAGCGUUUCGACUGAAAAAGAAAGAUGUGGACGACAAGCUGGGCUUUAGCGCUAAAACUUCUAGGGAGAAGACAUCAGGGAUUUCCACAUCUCAAGUCUUCUCUGGCACAUGUCCUUCCUUCAGCUUCAGGCAAACGAACCGCAGAGAAAACGAACAUCACCCUAGAAAGUCGUACCGGCGCGUACGGAAGAGCAACUUUGUCCGACCUGAUGACAAUGUAACGGAUCAGUCGCUCUGGGCACCGGGAUCGGUGCUGAGUUCCAGUCGAAGAUCGUCAGGCCUAAUGGCGACCGCUUGAGGUGCACCUUCUUCGUACUCCUCUCGUCGCAUACCGAUCAACAGAAGACCGAAGUCUCAGAAAAAUAUUUCUUCUGCGGCGCGACGAGAAAAUUUUCCAGACGACGCUAGCCAUUGGGCACAACAAAGUCUCGAACCUUCCAAUGAGAACGGAACUCAAAACCAGAAGAUCAACUAUCUUCUUGUUUCUCGAAAGCUGAGCCAAGUCCUUGUGUCUUUCACAAGGUCAUAUCAGUUGGGACUCAGCACCAUAUGUCUUGUGAAAAUAAAUGGAAGCAAGUCAGAUGUUAAGUGGGAGAACCAGCGUGGAAGCCAGGCAUUUCUUCCUUUGUGGAUAUCUUUUUUCUGUUAUAUUGAUUAGCUAUUGUUAUUAU